AACAAGAGACCCAAAGUGAAGCUCACCAACAACAAUUCUAAGUCAUGAUCUUCACAUUCAAUUGAAUGUAAUGAGAGAUACAUAUACUGUAUAUGCUAAAAUGUUUCAUCUUGCAAGUCAAUCAUUGGGAUCUAAUAAACAUCACCCAAAUACUUCAAAUCUAUAGAAAUAUUACAAGGAUGUUGUUUCUCUGACAUCUAUGAAAUCUGAUUUGAUUGCUCCAAAAUCCAGCAAUACAAUAUAAUAUUUAAUCAAAGAAAUCACACUCGUUUAAAGAUUUAUGGUAGUCUAUUGUUUUGAUAAACAGUUGAGAAAAAUAUAACAAAGAAGCUAGGCAAACAAAUAUAUGUCUUCACCAAAGACUUCAUUUUUGCAAUACCUUCAAUGAUGUUGUUUGAAAUAAGUUUUGUUGUUAUGUUCAUAUGGAUUUAAAGGUGAUGAAAUGUCAUAGGAAGUUUUGAUAAAAGAAAAAAAAA
rnacentral:lncRNA from 1 species